rnacentral:rRNA from 1 species
UGGGGAGUAUUGCACAAUGGGCGAAAGCCUGAUGCAGCGACGCCGCGUGCGGGAUGAAGGCCUUCGGGUUGUAAACCGCUUUUGAUUGGGAGCAAGCGAGAGUGAGUGUACCUUUCGAAUAAGCACCGGCUAACUACGUGCCAGCAGCCGCGGUAAUACGUAGGGUGCAAGCGUUAUCCGGAAUUAUUGGGCGUAAAGAGCUCGUAGGCGGUUUGUCGCGUCUGGUGUGAAAGUCCAUCGCUUAACGGUGGAUCUGCGCCGGGUACGGGCAGGCUAGAGUGCGACAGGGGAGACUGGAAUUCCCGGUGUAACGGUGGAAUGUGUAGAUAUCGGGAAGAACACCAAUGGCGAAGGCAGGUCUCUGGGUCGUCACUGACGCUGAGGAGCGAAAGCGUGGGGAGCGAACAGGAUUAGAUACCCUGGUAGUCCACGCCGUAAACGGUGGAUGCUGGAUGUGGGGCCCCAUUCCACGGGUUCCGUGUCGGAGCUAACGCGUUAAG